CCUCUCUCUGUCUCACUCUCUCUGUCUCACUCUCUCUGUCUCCCUCUCACUGUCUCACUCUCACUGUCUCACUCUCUCUGACUCCCCCUCACUGUCUCACCCUCUUUGUCUCCCCCUGCAGGUCAGCAGUUUGUCGUCCCUAAAUCUGGAUAUUUCUGUAACCUCUGCUCGAUGUUCUACCUGAACGAGAGUACGGCGCCGGGACCGACACUGCGGCAGCCAGAGACACUACGACAACCUGCAGAAACAUUACGAGAAGCUGCAGCAGACACCUUCCGAUUCCUCGCAGAGUUUCCAAGGAUCUGUUUCCAAUUGAUCCCGGCGACUUCUAACUUUCUUUUG